rnacentral:lncRNA from 1 species
GCCGAGAGGAAUUUUCUGGAGCUGGGUUUCAUCGCCGAAGUUUGUCGCGCAGAGCUCUCUUCUAUGCCGGAUGUUCGUGUGCUUUGGAUCAAGCGGGAGCAAAAUAUUGUUGCUCAUAGUUUAGCUCAAGCGUCGAGAGAUAUUAUUUCACAUCAUGUUUGGGAUGAACCUCCAAUGUCUGUGGUGGGUCAUCUUCAUAUUCCAUGUUCUUGUGAUCAAUAAAUUUAUCUCUCUUUUCCC